GAGCAGGAAAAUGCCGUCCCCCCAAAUCCUGGUGUCCUCGGCGACCGCCUAGGUUGCCUAAAUGGAAGCAUCAACCCUGGAUAUAACAAGAUACUUUUAAUAGACUUCAUCUUAAUAUUAAACAGUGGGAUAAAUGUAAUGUUAAUAAGUACCCCUGUAACACUGUAUAGUGUGUAUGAUUUUUGGAAAAACCUUUAAGGUCAUAUGGUAGUGAUGCUUCUCAGCUAUUACCUGUGAAUACACUUAAAGCUUAGCACAGCAGAGAAACAUUGCAAACUUGGUCUGCUGUAUAAGAAGGCAAACCGAAGUACCCCACCUCAUGAAUCUAAUGACUGAACAAGGACUCCUCAUUGUUUUUGCUGAUACAGACUAACACGGCUACUACUCUCUGUCACCAUGCAAGGCACUGAAUUCAGCCGUAUGAAGUGGAAAUCCACUAACUUCAUGAAAAAACUCUUGCAGAUACAGACACACAUCAUCUUCCUUUCCAAACACAAACAAAUGGACAUAAUACCAAAGGACUGAAGGUAAAAAAUCCAUUACAAUCAACGUACCACACAGACUAUGGUGAGAGAUUGUGCCACACUCUCAAAGAAACUGCAGAACCACCUGAUCAACAUCCUAUAUAGCAAACAAGAGAGGAUCAAGAAUGAACUCUUAUCUCCUUAGACUGACCUCACACUUGAAAAUCAGAAAAAGCUGAUACCAGCUGACGAGCAACCCAGAAUACCAUGGAUCUAUUGUUGUGACAAAGAUUGUGUUUUGUGUUUUAUGUUUUGUCUUGUGUUGUUUGUCUUGUUGCUACCAUUGUUGUGUACUGUGUUACAAAAAAAAGAAAAUACUGCAUUAGGAAGAAAAGGCUUAACAACCAUUUUAACUGUAUUUCCAGAAACCAAUGUUGCAGAAGGGCGGAGGUCAAGAAACGCCAGCCUGUUAACAGGGAAACAUCCUGAGGUGGUAAAGGCACAUUUAAAGGCAAAAUAUGCAUGAGAUACAAGGCUUAUCUGUUGCGGGGAAUAAAAGGAUGGACACAAAAAAAAUUUUAAGGCACAAAAUGAAAUUACCAAGGGAAAAAAAGGGUUUGUAAAAACAUUGGUUACUCAAAGACUAAGACUUGCCAAUUGUUACUUCUUAGUCAAUUUCCAGCAUGCAAGCCCAGCUGAAUGCACCUGGGUGUUGUAUGACACUGGAUGUAAGGAAAGAAAAGCCAUUGCCACACCUUCCCUGAUUACUAUAAGGGGCAGUACAGUAAAGGCCCAGUGAAGGCAGAGCUGCCCUAAUACUAUCUCAGUGUGAACUACUGAAGGUUAUUGGAGUUCCCUGGCAGCCGCGGGGGUGGGCAGCCUACAGAAAAGGCUCCCAAGAAAUGUGCUGAACUGCUUUGGGUGGAACUGGAUUAGAAGUUGGAGUGCUGGAUGUUACUAACAUAGAGGUAUUGGCAAACAAACCAAGUUAUGGUCAUAAAGUAAAUCAUAAUCUUUAUGAGAAUAAAUGUUUCUGUCAUAUUGUAGCAACCAGGGGAUGUGAUUUUGACUUUCAUGUUCCCGAAUUUCAAUAUAGUCAGUUAACAGUG